rnacentral:rRNA from 1 species
GUGCAGCAGGCGCGAAAACUUUACAAUGCGGGUAACCGUGAUAAGGGAACCUCGAGUGCCUGUAUAUGCAGGCUGUCCAGGUGUCUAAAACACACCUGAAGAAAGGGCCGGGCAAGACCGGUGCCAGCCGCCGCGGUAAUACCGGCGGCUCGAGUGGUGGCCACUUUUAUUGGGCUUAAAGCGUUCGUAGCUGGGUUGUUAAGUCUCUUGGGAAACCUGACGGCUUAACCGUCAGGCGUCUAAGAGAUACUGGUAAUCUUGGAACCGGGAGAGGUGAGGGGUACUUCGGGGGUAGGAGUGAAAUCCUGUAAUCCUCGAGGGACCACCUGUGGCGAAGGCGCCUCACCAGAACGGCUUCGACAGUGAGGGACGAAAGCUGGGGGAGCAAACCGGAUUAGAUACCCGUGUAGUCC